rnacentral:tRNA from 1 species
AAGGAUUUAAGUUAAAAAAACUAAUAGCCUUCAAAGCUGUAAAUAAAUUGCAAAUUUAAGCCUUA